GUCAUAUGCUUGUCUCAAAGAUUAAGCCAUGCAUGUCUCAGUACAAGCCAAAUUAAGGUGAAACCGCGAAAGGCUCAUUAAAUCAGUUAUGGUUCCUUAGAUCGUACCCACAAUUACUAGGAUAACUGUGGUAAUUCUAGAGCUAAUACAUGCAAACAGAGCUCCGACCGGAGACGGAAGGAGUGCUUUUAUUAGAUCAAAACCAAUCGGUGGCGGGUUCGCCCGUUAUCGUACAACUUGGUGACUCUGAAUAACUUUACGCUGAUCGCACGGUCAUCGCACCGGCGACGCAUCUUUCAAAUGUCUGCCUUAUCAACUGUCGAUGGUAGGUUCUGCGCCUACCAUGGUUGUAACGGGUAACGGGGAAUCAGGGUUCGAUUCCGGAGAGGGAGCCUGAGAAACGGCUACCACAUCCAAGGAAGGCAGCAGGCGCGCAAAUUACCCACUCCCGGCACGGGGAGGUAGUGACGAAAAAUAACGAUACGGGACUCAUCCGAGGCCCCGUAAUCGGAAUGAGUACACUCUAAACCCUUUAACGAGGAUCAAUUGGAGGGCAAGUCUGGUGCCAGCAGCCGCGG
rnacentral:rRNA from 1 species